rnacentral:rRNA from 1 species
UACGUAGGGUCCGAGCGUUGUCCGGAAUUACUGGGCGUAAAGAGCUCGUAGGUGGUUUGUCGCGUUGUUCGUGAAAACUCACAGCUCAACUGUGGGCGUGCGGGCGAUACGGGCAGACUAGAGUUCGGCAGGGGAGACUGGAAUUCCUGGUGUAGCGGUGAAAUGCGCAGAUAUCAGGAGGAACACCGGUGGCGAAGGCGGGGUCUCUGGGCCGAUACUGACACUGAGGAGCGAAAGCGUGGGGGAGCGAACAGG